GUGUGUUUGACAAGAUAUUUUCCGUCUGCAGCUAUGGAGGCAAGAGAGGUUGGGAACAACGUACCAGAAUUUGACUUGAACCUAGAACCCUAAAACGAUAGACAACAAUGAUAUGACAUCAAGCAAAAAGACUAGGUGCAACGAACUUGAUUCCAUGUGAUCAAGAGGCUUGUUUUCUGAAUCUUGGGUCUCUUAAACCAGGUAUUGUUGUUACAUGCAGGCAGAGCAGUUCAGAGUUCAGAUUUAGUGUUGUUGAUUAUGAUUAGCUAGGCCAUUUAUGAUAGGUUGCUUUAGCUUCAGUAUUUUUCUCAUAUUUGAUUUCUAGAUGCAAUUUAGAGGAAAAAGGAUGCAUGUAUGCUACUGAAAGGUUACUUGGUUUUGUUGUACUUAAUAUCUAUGAUUUUGUGUAACAAAAUCACCAGAGAUUUCUUCAUUUUGUAAUCUUAUAUGAAUUAUUUUGUCAUAUAUUUGUUAUGGAGUUUAAUCUCCGAUCGCUUAGUUUGUAUCAAAUUCAUUAGUCCUAAAGGCUGCCUACGUACAUAUUAUCGACACCUAGCUUAACAAUGCAUCUUUGGGAUCUAUAUGGAUCAUUAGUUUUUCAAAUUUUUAUUUAUUUAUUUAUUUAUUGUAAUAGAGACCGAACAUAUUGUUAGAAUAAAAAAUCCAGAUAAUUAGGGCUUGUUCUAUUCAAUCAGCUAGUCGUCACACAAUAAUGACACUAGAAUCCACAGGAUUCUUUGAAUAGACCUUAUCUAUCACCAAGAUGACAACAAUCUCUCUGUGAAUACAACACGUUGAGCCACUUUAUUCACUAGACCAGAAAUCACAUGUUAAUUAAGAGCAUCAGGAGGCACUUGCACGAGUUUUUUUGAUCUUCCACAGAGCAGAAGCUGAAGGUUUCUAGAUCUGCAAACCUGCCACUAGGUAAUUGUGCCACUAAACCUGAUUACGGAGAUAAAUUGCCCUGGCAGAGAUCAUACAGGUACUUCAAUCCCCCUAGCAGCCAGUGGGUUUCCACAGAAAGGUGCUUGGCGAUCAAUAUCAACCUAUAUUAAGAACUUCUUAUAAAAUUUUGUUUAUCAACUCUAAGAAUAAUUAUAUGAUUUAUGACUAUAUAUUUGUCACAACAAACUAUGGACAGAAAUCAACGAAGAAAAAUAAAUGACAAGAACACAAGAUUUAUGUAAAAACCCAAUCGGAAAAAAACCACGGGCGGGAGGCAGAGGAUAUUCAUGUGGAGAAUACAAACUGUGAAGAGAUAACACCCCAAAACCCCCAAUUGACCCAACUGUUUGCCUCACUAACACCUUUUUGUAAGUUUUUGGGGUAAGGAAUGCUAAGGAUUUUUAAGUAUGGAAAUGAUAGGAUAGGAAAGGACAGGAAAUUUACUUUCCUUAGUUCUGUUUGUAAGUUUACUAUGAUAGGGUUACCAAAUAUUGUAAUCACCGUCGUUGAUUAGCACGAAGCAAGAAAGUGUCAUUAUGCAUAGGAUAUGGAUGUCCAGAUUUAUUUUCCUAUGUUAAAUGUUAAGGGUGAUUUAGAAAUACAAAGAUAUUUAUUAAGCUCAAUUUCCAAUCCUUAGCUUUCCUAUGGUUUUACCUAGGAAAGUUUCCAAGAAAAAUUGGAUCUAAUUUUCUUUACCUUUCAAGAGCUUUCUUACUUAAAAAAAAAUAAUUACGAACAUGGGAUUUAUAAAGAAAAUUGUAAUUUUCUUUAGGUUUAAAGGUGGCUAAUUUUUAUUUUUUUUGAAUUAGAAUGAUCUGAAACCUUAUUGGCAUCACUCCUCCACUUCAACCACUAAGCCUCACUUUUCUUCUCCUUUAGGUCACUGAAAAAUAUUAUGCAGGUAUUAGUAAUGUCAGAUUCAAGACUAGAAUUCAAGAUGCGCAUAAAAAUAUUAGCUUUUCCUUCUUUAAGGACUUGAGUUCAUUUUCUUUUUAUCUACAUUUGUUUCAUUGAUGCAAAGAUUGACUACAUAAAUAAAUUGCACAUUAAGAAUGAAAGUUAUAGAAAUGUUAACUCACGGAUAAGGCCUCCCUAAUGACACCAGUAUCCAUUUUGUCCACUCCCGGAAAAGUGUUUGAGAUUGGAAAGUCAUUUGGACCCUCAUACAUUGACAAUGUUAUUACAAGAUGAGGUUGGUGGCCUUCCGAUUCUCAAGGAUGAGAAUCAUGGGUUGACAUUACUCCAGUUCCAAAUUCAUUUGUCAUCAAAAUUGGUGACACCGUAGAAGUACUAUCACUCUCACUCUCACUAUCUGAUCUCCCACUAUCACUCCCACUUAAUUACACUUUAGGGCCAUAAUAACAUCCUUACUAUCGCAGUGUGUCUAUCUCGCUUUUAUCAUGUGACAAGUACAUAUAAACUCUUGAAUCGUGUACAUUGUAAUAUUUCUUCAAUUUUUCCAAUUGAUUAAAUAAAACUAGUAUCAAGUACUCUCUCCAUUCCACUAGAUAGGUUUCUAAAACUACGACUUUCAAGGAACAAUUUAUUUUUCUAAACAUAUCCCCAACAUUAGAUAGAAAUGCAGUAUUGGUGGCAUUAUAAUACUCAAUACAUAGAAUAUUCAUAUCACUUAGUCUAAAAUUAAUGACUAUCUAUAAUGUAGAGCAUAAAAAAUGAAAAAGUAAUUGGGAGGGAGUAAUAGUGUAGGUGGUUCCUAAAAAUAUUAGCAAUAAUUUAACAGUUCAAAUCUCAUGCAUUUAACACUCCCUCCCUACCAAAAUAUAGGAUUAUUUAUUUUUUAAGUCAAAUUGAGAUAUUUUUAAAUCAAAAUUAAUAAAAUUCAUUUAAUUUUCUACAUUACAACUAUGAAAAUUAUGAACUACUUAAAAAGUACAACUAAACAACAUCAAAAUUUUAAGUUGAGAAUAUCUUAUAUUGACUUUUGAAAGUAAACAGAAGGAAUAUUUCUAUUUUGGGUGCAAAAACGGAGGGGAUAUAAUAUACAGAUUUAACACCAAUUCUACAUAUUCCUAAAUUUAUUAACAGUUCCUUCUAUUGCAUACAUAUUAUUAUAUCAUCAAGCCCUAGAUCUUUCAAUACAUAUACGUAUAUACAUAUGUUUUACUUAUAUACUUACAGAAAAUAACAUAUGAAUGUAUAAGAGUUGUAAUUGAGAGAUGAAAAUUUACCUUUGCGCACAAGCGGUAGGCUGAGGAGUGGUGUAUAAAGAUUAGAGACGACUAUUUGUAGCAAAUUUCAUGAGCUAUGAUCGAUUUCCCACAACAGCUGAUAAUGGAUAAGGACACCAAGCCUAGAGGAAAGCACCUUCCCGUUUUUUUAUGAGAGAUUUAGUAGAGAGAUGAUGUCUUAUUGUGAGUUUUUUUAUGAGAGAAAAUUA
rnacentral:lncRNA from 1 species